ACCCCUGUAUGUGAAUAAAUCUCUCUGUGUGGUGAAGGGAAAGAGCAUGUGCUUUGAGGCACUUUAAUAAUAUACAGGGUGCAAUCUACCCUAAAGCCAGCCCUGUGCAGCUUCUUCUCAGGACAUACACCAUCUCACUGACACAUAGCCGCACCCCCACAACUUUAUCAACGAGUUAAGCGCCUCAGUAGGACAAAGCAUGGGAAAUCCCCACCCCCCUUAUCUGCACUUGGUACCGCCCUAAGCGCUUACUGGCUCGCUGUCUCUUAGAGACCGUCCCACUUUGGGGGGCGCGCGCUGUAUUCCGGAGUUCAUUGACAGUAGUGAAGGGGGACAUGGGGUCACAUCACAUGGGGCAGUGCGAGCAGUGAGGAGCCGAGGACCUGGCGCACAGAGUAUUAGGCAAAGCUCGGACAUGCAGGCAGCUGAAAAGAAGCUCUGCUGGAUGCACAUUCAAAGCCAGUGAAAGGAAUACAUGGCUGGACCUAAUCCGCUGAAGAACCAGCUUGACAUUUGGACUAUUUUAUGGGUAGAUAUCCAUAGUAUGGAGGAAGCCAGAAAUCUACUGUCCUCAUUUUAACACCAUUUUACAGUAAUGUAAAAAGGCCCUGAAUAAGGGUGAAAGUUUUUUGAUGAAGGAAGUAAAAGCUGGACAUUGUCAAAAGGAGUUCUUGAAAUAUAUGAAGGGGGUCUGCUGAGGGUUAAAGCAUGCAUGUGCCUGGAUAAUAAAGGACUUUAUAGAGCCUGGUUUCAACUCUUAUGCUCCACAUUUUGUUAGAGGGUUCUUUAAAAGUGGAACUUUAGUUUGAGGGGGAAGUGUAUAGCUGAUGUUCUAUGGCAAACUUUGGAUGGGAAGCCAUUCUAUAAACACAUUUGGACUAUCACUUAGCCAUUGUGACACACAAUCUUGUCAUUUAUCAUUUAUAUUGUAUGUGUUUAUGCUGGUAUCUUACAUUCUGCAGGCAAAUUUAAUGUCCAGCAGCUGAUGUGUUUUCCUUCUGAGUGACAGAUGAUGUAAACAUCCUACACUCUCAGCUGUGGAGUACAGAAAGCUGGGAGAAGGCUGUUUACGCUGUCUGCCUUGGAGAUCAACGGACUGUUAGGGAAGCAAAUUAUCUGAAAUUGUCUGGUUCACCUAGGUUGAGUUCUGUACUCUCAUAUAUUUAUGUAGUGUAAUAUGGACACUGUUUCUUAAUAAAGCAUAGUUCCAUUCAUGUGUUUUUGUUUAAUUGUUUUAUUAAGUGUUUCUAGCAUUUUUCUACGUAUUGAAUGGCCUCAGACAGUUUUCCAGCUUCACAGCAGCUUGCAUAUCUUCAGAACUGAUAUUAAAGUUGGAAAAUAAAAAUUACUUUGUAAAUUGUCUUGGUGGAAAUAGGGCUUGUGAUACUUUUACUAGUACAUAGACGUUGGAUUCCAUUUAGCGACAUGAUUGGCAGGGGUGUGAGUGUUUAUAUCACCCCCGAUCAGGAUAACAAGCCAGGAGAAGUCUGAGCUGCCACGUGUUCCUCUCCCUGUCUCCAAAUUCCCCUCCCCACAUCAUUCAUAUAACAUGUUUCCUUUGGUUAUUUCACCAACAUAUACUUCCAGGCAAAAAGUCUGUACAGCAAUGCAGCCUACUUAAUCUUGAAGGAGUUGGCUUGGUCUUUGAAGCAUGUCACUGAUUCUCACUUUUGACUGUGGUCUGGGCUUUGACUAGGUCAUUCUAAGAGUUAUGCUGUUGACCAUAGCAACCAAUCAGAUUGCUUCUUUAACCUGUUGGGGACGGAGGGUGUACAGGUACG